rnacentral:rRNA from 1 species
UAGGGAAUCUUCCACAAUGGGCGAAAGCCUGAUGGAGCAACGCCGCGUGUGUGAUGAAGGGUUUCGGCUCGUAAAACACUGUUGUAAGAGAAGAAUGACAUUGAGAGUAACUGUUCAAUGUGUGACGGUAUCCUACCAGAAAGGAACGGCUAAAUACGUGCCAC